GUAUCUGAAGGUCAAAGGGAAUGUAUUAAAAAAAAAAAGCGGAGUCUCAUGGAGCAUAUCAACAAACUGAAGGCUAACAAGGUCCACAGGAAGCUACUGGCUGACCAGGCUGAGGCUCGCAGGUCUAAGACCAAGGAAGCAAGAAAGCUCCAGGACGAGUGCCUCCAGGCCAAGAAGGAAGAAAUCAUCAAGACUCUGUCCAAGGAGGAAGAGACCAAGACAU
rnacentral:lncRNA from 1 species